UGUCUGGAACUGCCGAUGAGGGGAUACUCUGAACGGUAGCUAAUACCGCAUAACGUCUCGGACCAAAGUGGGGGACCUUCGGGCCUCACACCAUCGGAUGUGCCCAGAUGGGAUUAGCUAGUAGGUGGGGUAACGGCUCACCUAGGCGACGAUCCCUAGCUGGUCUGAGAGGAUGACCAGCCACACUGGAACUGAGACACGGUCCAGACUCCUACGGGAGGCAGCAGUGGGGAAUAUUGCACAAUGGGCGCAAGCCUGAUGCAGCCAUGCCGCGUGUAUGAAGAAGGCCUUCGGGUUGUAAAGUACUUUCAGUGGGGAGGAAGGCGAUGAAGUUAAUAACUUCGUCGAUUGACGUUACCCGCAGAAGAAGCACCGGCUAACUCCGUGCCAGCAGCCGCGGUAAUACGGAGGGUGCAAGCGUUAAUCGGAAUUACUGGGCGUAAAGCGCACGCAGGCGGUCUGUCAAGUCGGAUGUGAAAUCCCCGGGCUCAACCUGGGAACUGCAUUCGAAACUGGCAGGCUAGAGUCUUGUAGAGGGGGGUAGAAUUCCAGGUGUAGCGGUGAAAUGCGUAGAGAUCUGGAGGAAUACCGGUGGCGAAGGCGGCCCCCUGGACGAAGACUGACGCUCAGGUGCGAAAGCGUGGGCAAGCAGGAUUAGAUACCCUGGUAGUCCACGCCGUAAACGAUGUCGACUUGGAGGCUGUUCCCUUGAGGCGUGGCUUCCGGAGCUAACGCGUUAAGUCGACCGCCUGGGGAGUACGGCCGCAAGGUUAAAACUCAAAUGAAUUACGGGGGCCCGCACAAGCGGUGGAGCAUGUGGUUUAAUUCGAUGCAACGCGAAGAACCUUACCUGGCCUUGACAUCCACGGAAUUUGGCAGAGAUGCCUAUGUGCCUUCGGGAACCGUGAGACAGGUGCUGCAUGGCUGUCGUCAGCUCGUGUUGUGAAAUGUUGGGUUAAGUCCCGCAACGAGCGCAACCCUUAUCCUUUGUUGCCAGCGUAAUGGUGGGAACUCAAAGGAGACUGCCGGUGAUAAACCGGAGGAAGGUGGGGAUGACGUCAAGUCAUCAUGGCCCUUACGGCCAGGGCUACACACGUGCUACAAUGGCGCAUACAAAGAGAAGCGACCUCGCGAGAGCAAGCGGACCUCAUAAAGUGCGUCGUAGUCCGGAUCGGAGUCUGCAACUCGACUCCGUGAAGUCGGAAUCGCU
rnacentral:rRNA from 1 species